rnacentral:rRNA from 1 species
UACGAAGGGGGCUAGCGUUAAUCGGAAUUACUGGGCGUAAAGCGUGCGCAGGCGGCGCGUUUAAGACAGGUGUGAAAGCCCCGAGCUUAACUUGGGAAUUGCGCUUGUGACUGGCGUGCUGGAGUGUGGCAGAGGGAGGUGGAAUUCCACGUGUAGCAGUGAAAUGCGUAGAGAUGUGGAGGAACACCGAUGGCGAAGGCAGCCAUCUGGACCAGCACUGACGCUGAGGCACGAAAGCGUGGGGAGCAAACAGG